AGGGUUUGAUCAUGGCUCAGAUUGAACGCUGGCGGAAUGCUUUACACAUGCAAGUCGAACGGGUCUUAGGGGCUUGCUCCUAAGUUUAGUGGCGAACGGGUGAGUAACAUAUCGGAACGUAUCCAUUAAUGGGGGAUAACUAAUCGAAAGGUUGGCUAAUACCGCAUGCGCCCUACGGGGGAAAGCAGGGGAUCUUCGGACCUUGCGUUAAUGGAGCGGCCGAUAUCUGAUUAGCUAGUUGGUGGGGUAAAGGCUCACCAAGGCGACGAUCAGUAGCUGGUCUGAGAGGACGACCAGCCACACUGGAACUGAGACACGGUCCAGACUCCUACGGGAGGCAGCAGUGGGGAAUUUUGGACAAUGGGCGAAAGCCUGAUCCAGCCAUUCCGCGUGAGUGAAGAAGGCCUUCGGGUUGUAAAGCUCUUUCGCAAGGGAAGAAAACUUAUAUUCUAAUAAAGUAUGAGGAUGACGGUACCUUGAUAAGAAGCACCGGCUAACUACGUGCCAGCAGCCGCGGUAAUACGUAGGGUGCGAGCGUUAAUCGGAAUUACUGGGCGUAAAGCGUGCGCAGGCGGUUUUGAAAGUCAGAUGUGAAAUCCCCGAGCUCAACUUGGGAACUGCGUUUGAACUCCAAAGCUAGAGUAUAGGAGAGGGGGGUAGAAUUCCACGUGUAGCAGUGAAAUGCGUAGAGAUGUGGAGGAAUACCAAUGGCGAAGGCAGCCCCCUGGCCUAAUACUGACGCUCAUGCACGAAAGCGUGGGGAGCAAACAGGAUUAGAUACCCUGGUAGUCCACGCCCUAAACGAUGUCUACUAGUUGUUGGUGGAGUAAAAUCCAUUAGUAACGCAGCUAACGCGUGAAGUAGACCGCCUGGGGAGUACGGUCGCAAGAUUAAAACUCAAAUGAAUUGACGGGGGCCCGCACAAGCGGUGGAUUAUGUGGAUUAAUUCGAUGCAACGCGAAAAACCUUACCUGGCCUUGACAUGCCACUAACGAAGCAGAGAUGCAUUAGGUGCUCGAAAGAGAAAGUGGACACAGGUGCUGCAUGGCUGUCGUCAGCUCGUGUCGUGAGAUGUUGGGUUAAGUCCCGCAACGAGCGCAACCCUUGUCGUUAAUUGCCAUCAUUGAGUUGGGCACUUUAACGAGACUGCCGGUGACAAACCGGAGGAAGGUGGGGAUGACGUCAAGUCCUCAUGGCCCUUAUGGCCAGGGCCUCACACGUAAUACAAUGGUCGGUACAGAGGGUUGCCAACCCGCGAGGGGGAGCCAAUCCCAGAAAGCCGAUCGUAGUCCGGAUUGCAGUCUGCAACUCGACUGCAUGAAGUCGGAAUCGCUAGUAAUCGCGGAUCAGCAUGUCGCGGUGAAUACGUUCCCGGGCCUUGUACACGCCGCCCGUCACACCAUGGGAGUGGGUUUCACCAGAAGUAGGUAGUCUAACCGCAAGGAGGGCGCUUACCACGGUGGGAUUCAUGACUGGGGUGAAGUCGUAACAAGGUAACC
rnacentral:rRNA from 1 species